CUCUCACAUAUUCUCUCAAAGACGCGCCUGUAAACCCUAGGAGCCGCCUCCAUGUCCAACCGCCUAAGGUGGCGGCGCCGCUUCCAUUCACCACAAGAAUUACACCCCCGAACCCCCAAGCCCACCUCAUUCCACAUCCCUAUUCCGUUUGCCUCAAAUCGUGUCUGAAUCUUUCGAAUAAUAGAUUAAAGGUGAACUUCAAAAUCCAAAUUUUCUUGUUCAAGUUUUCUGCGAAGAUUUUUGGAUCAUUCAGACUUUAUUCGUGUGUUCUGGUAAAGAGCUCACGAUUAAUCUCGGAUUGAGCCAUGAAUGGAAGAUUUGACGACAUGAAAGUUAUGGUUCGAAUGCUCACUGUCUAUGACCACUUUAGGUAUUUUCUUUCACUUUAGGUUGUUAAUUUUUAUCUUUUCUUACUUCCCAUCUUUGUCUGUCUAGCCCUUUACAGAUUUUCCCGUUUUGUUUUGUUUUCUAUGCCUGCUUGGUUGGUUCCAGACUUUUGUAGUUAGUAAUGGCUUCGGAGGUUUAGUUUGAAAACAUUUUCAUUUUUUAGGACCCAAAUUCCACGAGUCUUUAAGACUCUGUGGAUUGGCUUGUGAAUCUUGGGCUUUCAAUGUCAAAAGAGGGUUCUGAAAAUUAAAAUGCCCAAAAGGGAAUCAAUUUGGGUUUAUUCAGACCUACCUGCUUGGGUCAAUUGGACUCAGGCUUUGCCUGGUGUACAUGGGUAAAAAUAGAGGGUUUGAGGGGUAAUAUAGGAAUUUUAGGGUAGGGAAUCUUGUUAUAAAAGAAAUGAAAGCUUCUUAGAAGCUGGGGUGAGGGGCUGUUGGGAUAAUUUGAUAAUUACAUUAAGGGUUGUUCAGCAAAAAGGAAAAUUAGCUAGGGAUUCCUAAGCUAAAAUAAAAAUUCAAAAAUAACUAAAAUGCAAACCUGAUCCUUCUAUUGCUGCCAUAUUUCCUUGCCUAUAAAGGCACUUUUCCUUGCCUUUCAAAGCAAGAAUUAGAGAGCUGAAAAUAUAGAAAAAUACAGACGACUAAAAAUCGUUGUUUCAUUGGAUCUUUCCAUUUCAGUUAUUUUUCUUUCUUCUUUUCAAGUUUUGAAAUAAUCUAGACUCAUCUGAGUACAAAAAUGGGUUGAAUUUGGUCUUCAAAUUGGUGUAAAGUCUGUUGGUUUACUGUCUGAUUGGAACUAUUUUGCCCCACAUCAUUCUGGGUUGAAGUUGAUUCCACUAGUUGUUUUGCUGCUUAACUAUUGCUGACCUUACCUUUCUCUUACUGAAAUUUUGUAGCUCUUUUUUCGUUAUAUAAGGUAUCUACUUUGAUCCUUAAUAUUGUGAAGUAAACCUGUAGAUUGAAAUGAAAAACUGAAUUUGAAGCAUGGCAUUCUUAUGCUCUAUUGAUUUAAUAGUACUGCUUGAUUUUACAUUUGAAAUCUAUUUGAUGUAUCAAUAGAUUGAAUUUUAGUUCAAGUAAAUGAGUGCUAUUAGUAUGUUUGGCAUAGGGAUGCUAUGAAACUUGGGCCACACUUUGGCCAUUUGAGUUAGUAGUUGGACUUGGUAUUGUAUAAUUGGAUUUUAGCAUGAUCAUGAACUAUUGUGGAAGCCUGACUAAUAACAUAUUUAGUCAUAGUUGAUUAUAUUGUGCUCUCAUUAUUCUCAGUUUUAAUUGAAAUUCCUGUAUGCAUUUAAGUUUAGUCAUUAAAUCUCUUUGCAUGGAAGUUUAUUGAGGUUAUUGUUGUCAGCUUAUUUCAAAUGCUUAAGUCAAAAUUCCGUUUAAGUAUAAAAAGCCAUAGAAUGAGUUAGAAUGGAUGUUUUCAUGUCAGUUCCAUCUUUGAUUCUGGUAUUUAUUGCUUAAGGAGUGAGUUUAGUUUGGUUUUGUUAUAAUCCAAAUAACUAGCAUGUUGUGUUUGUGGAUUGAAUGGGGUCAAGAUUGAAAGGUCCUUGUCUGAUCUCUAAGAGGAAUGGGCAAGUCUAUUUUAAAAGUAGGCAUUUGAUAAUCUGCAAUCAAACAGCCUCACCUAAUAAUGCUUAAAGUGGCUUUGUGUGCUAAUCACGGAUUGUUAGUGAAACCUGUUGGCUUGUGACUAAAUGUGAAUGAAUCACUUUCUUUGGCGUAGACUCGAUAUUUGGUAUGUGAUCCUUAACCCUGGUCCAUCAUGGUUUGGGCUUAUUGUGUACAGGGCCUUAGGAGGGUCUGCCUUUAAAAGAAGUUGACAUUUUUUUGGGCUUGUUCUUUGAUCCCAGUAGCUCACUCGUCAAUUGUAGGUCUGUUUCCACAGCCAAGGCUGCCCAAGCAUGUGUGUAAUGUGGAGUCAUGGAAGCCUGAUAAUUAAUUAGUUUGCAAAAUCAGGGCUUUAAUUUGAUAAGUCAAGCCCAUUCUAUGGUAGAAUCAGUAAAGGCACAGUGGAUUUAGGAUUAACUUUAGAACUUUGGAAUUGGUCUCACAUUGCUUACUUUAAAUAAUUUAACGUUUGCAAGUUUAAGGAUUCGAUCUGCAAUCCCAUUUUCCACUACUAACCAGCUGCCCUGAGGACUUGGUCUCAAGAUUGUGCCUGAGUUGGAGAUGAGCUACUUCCCUUUACGCAUAGGGUCAGUAGUUCAAGCCUAGGGGAAUCCCUUCCCCGAUGGAGUUGUUAAUUUAAAGUAGUUCAAUUUUAGUUCCAAAGCUUUGACAAAUUGUCUUUUUUUAAUUAGUUAAACUUUCCAAAUUGAAAAUGUUGUGAGCCAUGCUAAUUGAAUCACUCAUGGCCCUCAUCAAUGUCAAAACUAGUCAUUAAUAACAAAUAUUCAUAGGAAAGCCUUUAUGGUCUUCUAAAAUACAAUUAGAAUUAGGUACAUGUUCGCAUGACCUAAUUGCAAUUUUUAAAAUUAAAAAAAACCAAAUCGGAGUAUGCGUUCGCGCAACUUCGGCCUCGCAUUAACUUCGUGACUUAGAUAUAAAAUAACAAAUGACUGUAGUUUUCUUUUGGCACGUGUAAUGUAUUAUCAUAGUCAUGGACACGUUCGCAUGACAUGAUUACGAUUUUAAAAACAAAAUCGGAGUAUUCGUUCACACAACCUCGGCUAAACUCUCUUAAUAAAAAUGAAACGUUAUUAAUUAUGGACACGUUCGCGAGACAUGAUUUUUGGCGCGCCAAACAAAUGGGUAAACGUAUGCGUGACCCCUUUCAAGAUAAUUUGAAUUAAAAGAGGCAAAAGCACAUAGGUUCUAAAAUGAGUAAUUAGACAAUUUAGUCAAGCCAAGUAUGAUCAAUGCGACCAUACUAGAACCACGGAACUCAGUAAUGCCUAACACCUUCUUCCGGGUUAAAAAAAUUCCUUGCUCAGAUUUCUAUGUUUGCAGACUGUACUACAGAGUCAAACUUCCUUGAUUCAGGAUUUUAAACCGGUGACUUGGGACACCAUAAACUAUCCUAAGUGGCGACUCUAAAUAUUUAAUUGAAAUGAUCCCUUUCUAUUGUUACUUAAAUUGGAAAAAACUCCUUUAUAUACGCCUUUCCAGGGUGUAGGUAAAAAGGAGGCGUGACAUCUCUAGCAACUCUGCUGGGGAGCGAACCUAGAAUCUCUGGUUCAGGGUUUAAGAAUUCGUUUUAUGAUUUUUACUUCGCUUCAUUUAUUAUUCAUAUUACUGUAUUUUAUAAACCUCUGUGCUAAUUGCUAUCUAUUUACCGCUUUAAUAUUAUUUGAAUUGUAUAUAACAGUCUUCUUAUGCCACCCGUUUGAGUCUUUGAAAAGGGUGCACACGUUCGCGUUGCCCACUUUUUUUUUUAUAGAAAUUAUACCAAAUAUAACGAGGUUGGGCCAGCGACAUGGGCGGGUAGACUUUAUUGCUCCCGGCACGUCGCCCCCUCUUCAGCCCCAGUUAUCCGCUUAGGUGCCACAAGUCUAGACCAAAACCCCAAGAUUUAAAAGCGCUUAUUUGCAUCAUGUGAAUUUGACUUUGGGGACUCAACACAGGGGUUGGGUCCAUCUAGGACAGGUGUACCCAAAAUAACAGACCAUCCUGAUACAUUCUAUGUGCUAUUUGAACAUUUAUUUAUUUUGGCUUGCACGCUGAUCAGAUAGGAAAGGGAAAAAAGAGCAAAUAGA
rnacentral:lncRNA from 1 species